GGCGACUAACGGGAUCUGGUGGUCAGGCUAGCUGACUUGUUUGACACAUGUCAGCGGUUCCCAAUUGCGUAGAUCGAUGCUCAUGCUGUUGAUCACUGGAUUGUCUGGCGCAGAGUCGAUUAUUGACAGAACGCCGCCAUACAUCUGGAAUAUUGCUGAGUGCGGCGUAAGACUAAACUCA